rnacentral:rRNA from 1 species
AUUGAACGCUGGCGGCAGGCUUAACACAUGCAAGUCGAACGAGCGGCGGACGGGUGAGUAAUGUCUGGGAAACUGCCUGAUGGAGGGGGAUAACUACGGGAAACGGUAGCUAAUACCGCAUACCAUCAGAUGUGCCCAAAUGGGAUUAGCUAGUAGGUGGGGUAAUGGCUCACCUAGGCGACGAUCUCUAGCCGGUCUGAGAGGAUGACCAGCCACACUGGAACUGAGACACGGCCCAGACUCCUACGGGAGGCAGCAGUGGGGAAUAUUGCACAAUGGGCGCAAGCCUGAGGCAGCCAUGCCGCGUGUAUGAAGAAGGCCUUCGGGUUGUAAAGCACUUUCAGCGGGGAGGCGUUACCCGCAGAAGAAGCACCGGCUAACUCCGUGCCAGCAGCCGCGGUAAUAC